CAGGAAUAAAUGUGGCCAAGAGCUGACUGAGCAACAGACUGCAUGGUUUUAGUUGGAAAGAAGAACAAUCAGUUUGGGGCUUGGCUAAUUCCAGUAAGUCUUCUUUUUGAAUGAGGUAAUUCAAAUACAGAAGUCAUCUUCAUGAAAAGAGAAAGCUGUCUCCAAUUCCUGCUCAGGAGGAGCUACCGUGCUGGCCUGCUGAGAGGGAAUGAGCUGAUCAAAGCCAGCGAGUCCACGGAGAACUGCCGGAUUAGUGCUGCUUCGGGGAGCGCACAGCCGGGAUUCAUUACCCAGCCUGUUUCGGGAACAGGUGAAUACCGUAAUUAAUCUUGGCUUCAGUUUGGAGGGGAACAGGGAACCUACCUGCCCUGUCCACUAAGUUUAUAUGUUAAUCCCCCGAGCUCUGGGGAAAAGUUUUUAAAUUGGUGUAAAGGCUUUUUCUGCCCUUCCGAAUGUGUAGAGAAGAAAGAGCUGGGAAGGGUUGCUGAGAUCCCUAACUUCAGGCAGUUAAGAUGCCUCCCAGGAAAGCUGUUGAUUGCUGCCUUGCUUGGUGUGACUCAUCAAAGCGCCCAGAGCAACGGCUCUUCCAAUGAAGCUAGCAGGAUUUUAAUGCAAGAAAAUACUUGAAGAUGCAGGGGCCCACAAACACAAACCAGGAAAUUCAGAUACUUGGAAUUGGAGUUGCUCUCAGGGGCAAACUCAUCUAAUCAAUGGGCUCUUGAAUUGCUUAAAUCAUGUCCAGGACUUUACAUAUUAUUCUAGAUAAAGAAAAAUGAAUAGGCACCUGCCUUGUCCCUCCUUUGCACCAAAUUCAUAUUUUUAGGCAAUUAAUUGUACAAACAAAAUAUCUGCAUCAGCAAUAGAAAUUUCACAGUAGAAACACUGAGGGCUUGCACUAAAAUUCAGUGCUGAAUGAACUGGGUAGCAAAAUAAAACAGAAAGCAAUCCUUUUUCUUUGAGGAGACAACAAAUUAUGGAUGUAAGCAAAAGAUGCUAGACGGCGUCCUCUGACACCCCUAACAUGGAGUGGUAGAGACCACCCUGUCACAGAGAACUGAAGAAAAGCAGGUUGAGAGGCCUGUUAGGAAUUGUAACACUUGGGUGCCCCUCCCUCGUUGACAUCCUUGGUGACAGGCUGAGGCCCCAGUGAGGCACAAACUAGUCAUCCAAGCAUAAAACCUUAAAGAGUAAGGUCCUUUUCCCAGAGACACUACACACAUUGAUAAAAACGUGGCUUCACUAUGACUACCUCCCCCAUUCCACUCUGUCCUCCCCCACAAUUCAAUUCGAUAACAAAAUAUUACUACGUAUCUGAAAUGUCAUUGUUGCCCGCUUCUUUUCCUUUUUAUUUCAUCUGGAUCUGAUGUCCUACUAUUAAAAUUUUGCUUGGGGACCUGUCUUAGUUCAGGCUGUUAUAACAAGAUACCAUAGGUUUGGUGUCUUAAACCGCAGAAAUUUUUUUCUCACUGUCCUGGGGGCUGGGAAGUUCAGGAUCGGGGUACCAGCAGAUUUGGUGUCUGGUGAGGGCACUCUUACUAGCUUGCAGAUGUCAAUCUUCUCAUUGUAUCCUCAUAAAGCAGAAAGCAAAGAGAGAAGGCAAGCUUCUUCCUGUUUCUUUUUCUAAGGGUACUAAUCCCAUCAUGAGGACUCCACCCUAGUUCUAACCUUUGAAUUGGAGAGUGAGGGGCACAAACAAUCAGAACCUAUAUCAAUUUCUGACAGUAUCCAACUCCUAUUUGUUCAAAGUCAACUGAGCAAUAUUGGACAUGAAUCCGUGGAGAACAAAUUCAACCAUAUAUUUUAUUUUUGUUGUUCAAAGU